rnacentral:rRNA from 1 species
GAUGAACGCUAGCGGCGGGCUUAAUACAUGCAAGUCGAGGGGCAGCACGAUGUAGCAAUACAUUGGUGGCGACCGGCGGACGGGUGCGUAACACGUAUGCAACUUGCCCUAUACUGGGGGAUAGCCCGAAGAAAUUCGGAUUAAUACCCCAUAACAUCAGGAUCAGCGUUGGUCUUGGUUCAAAACUCCGGUGGUAUAGGAUGGGCAUGCGGUCGAUUAGCUUGUUGGUGAGGUAACGGCUCACCAAGGCGACGAUCGAUAGGGGGCCUGAGAGGGUGAUCCCCCACACUGGUACUGAGACACGGACCAGACUCCUACGGGAGGCAGCAGUAAGGAAUAUUGGUCAAUGGGCGAAAGCCUGAACCAGCCACGCCGCGUGAAGGAAGACGGCCCUAUGGGUUGUAAACUUCUUUUCUACGGGAAUAAACCUCAGGACGUGUCCUGAGCUGAAGGUAUCGUAGGAAUAAGGAUCGGCUAACUCCGUGCCAGCAGCCGCCGUAACAC